GAUGAACGCUGACAGAAUGCUUAACACAUGCAAGUCGAUUCAACUUACCUUCGGGUAUUGAGGAUGGCGGACGGGUGAGUAACGCGUAAGGAACUUGCCUCUUGGUCUGGGACAACUGUUGGAAACGACAGCUAAUACCGGAUAUUAUGAGAUUCUCGCAUGGGAAACUUAUGAAAGCUAUAUGCGCCAAGAGAGAGCCUUGCGUUCCAUUAGCUAGUUGGUGGGGUAACGGCCCACCAAGGCGACGAUGGAUAGCCGGCCUGAGAGGGUGAACGGCCACAAGGGGACUGAGACACGGCCCUUACUCCUACGGGAGGCAGCAGUGGGGAAUAUUGGACAAUGGGCCACAAGCCUGAUCCAGCAAUUCUGUGUGCACGAUGAAGGUCUUCGGAUUGUAAAGUGCUUUCAGUUGGGAAGAAGAAAGUGACGGUACCAACAGAAGAAGCGACGGCUAAAUACGUGCCAGCAGCCGCGGUAAUACGUAUGUCGCAAGCGUUAUCCGGAUUUAUUGGGCGUAAAGCGCGUCUAGGCGGAAAAAUAAGUCUGAUGUUAAAAUGCGGGGCUCAACUCCGUAUUGCGUUGGAAACUGUUUUUCUAGAGUACUGGAGAGGUGGGCGGAACUACNAGUGUAGAGGUGAAAUUCGUAGAUAUUUGUAGGAAUGCC
rnacentral:rRNA from 1 species